rnacentral:rRNA from 1 species
UACAGAGGAUGCAAGCGUUAUCCGGAAUGAUUGGGCGUAAAGCGUCUGUAGGUGGCUUUUUAAGUCCGCCGUCAAAUCCCAGGGCUCAACUCUGGACAGGCGGUGGAAACUACCAAGCUGGAGUACGGUAGGGGCAGAGGGAAUUUCCGGUGGAGCGGUGAAAUGCGUAGAGAUCGGAAAGAACACCAACGGCGAAGGCAGUGUCCUGGGGAGUACCUGACGCUCAGGUGCGAAAGCCAGGGGAGCGAACGGG